GGUCCGUGGAGAACAUCCAGGACCACUCCUGUCCGAGGGCC
rnacentral:rRNA from 1 species